rnacentral:rRNA from 1 species
UAACUUUUAACAACGGAUCUCUUGGCUCUCGCAUCGAUGAAGGACGCAGCGAAAUGCGAUAAGUAAUGUGAAUUGCAGAAUUCAGUGAAUCAUCGAAUCUUUGAACGCACCUUGCGCUCCCUGGCAUUCCGAGGAGCACACCUGUUCGAGCGUCGUG